rnacentral:rRNA from 1 species
GCCUGACCUUAACAAGACAAUUAAAUUACUAAUUGUUCGCCAAACUACUAUGAGUGAAAACUUAAAAUUUAAAAGACUUGACGGUACUUCAUAACAUCCUAGAGGAGCCUGUCUAAUAACCGAUAACCCACGAUUAACCCAACCCACUCUGGCCCAACAGUCUAUAUACCGCCGUCGCCAGCUUACCUUAUGAAAGAAACAAAGUAAGCCCAAGAACACCCCACUAGCACACAGGUCGAGGUGUAACUAAUGAGGGGAACAAGAUGGGCUACAUUUUCUUAACCAGAAAAAACGAACAGACUAUGAAACUAGAAACUGAAGGUGGAUUUAGCAGUAAGAUAGGAACAUACUACCUAACUGAAACCAACGCAAUGAAGUGCGUACACACCGCCCGUCAUCCCUGCAAAAUAUACAACGCCAUACUAAAUAAACGUCCUUAAACCAAGCAGGGCAAGUCGUAACAUGGUAAGCGUACUGGAAAGUGUGCUUAGAAACAAAAAGUAGCUUACAUUAAAGCACUCGACCUACAAUCGAACGACAUUACACAAUAAUCUUUUUGAGCUAAGAUAUAAUAACAAUAUACAAAUAUACAUAUAUUAUAACCUAAACAAAUCAUUU